AUGGCGAUGCAGCCAACAAAGAAGAAACGCCUGGCCAGCUUGCCGCAAGAUCUCAUCGAGCUGAUACUUGUGAGGCUUCCAGUGAGCGAUCUGCUGAGGUGCUGUGGUGUCUGCAAGCAGUGGGAUGGCAUCAUCCGGGAUCCGCAGUUCACCAUGGCACACCUCAGGCGUGCGCGGCCUCGCCCCCUUUUAUUUUUUCAACGAGGCCGGGCUUCAGGCAAGUCCUUCCCUAGCGAAGCAGUCCUCUUUGAUGAGGCCUGGUCGCCAUCGACGCGGGAUGUGCCCGUGAUUGAUCCUGACGAUUUCUUGUGCGCUUCGUGCAAUGGCCUUGUUUGCUUGUACUCGAGUAACUCAACCAUCAAGAUAGCCAACCUCGCUACCGGUGAAAGUAUGCACCUAGCCAAACCCGUCAAGUACGCGACGGAAUAUCAAUCUUCGUUCUACAGCUUUGGUUUCAGCCCAGCUACAAAUGAAUACAAGAUCGUGCACUUUCUUCCGGGCCAGAAGCUCCAUCCUGCUGGUGGUUCCUUCAGUGUCAUUCAAGUUUACACGCUAGGCGAUGACAAGUGGAGGGACGUCAGAACUCUAGAAGUUGUAAGCCUGUACUGUGUGAAACAAAGUGGAGUUGUCAAUGUUGACGGAGCAAUGUACUGGCUAACCCAUGACAAAGAAAGCAACUGGCGACGGGCCGUUAUAUCCUUUGAUCUCAGAGAUGAAUGUCUAGAAAUAAUACGGUUGCCCAAAGUUGAUUUUGCGGAUCCUGCAUUUGCUAAUCCGUUCUGUUACUGGAUCACCGAGAUAGAUUCCAAGGUGUCUGUGGCUGCUGUUCAAGCCAGAAGAGAUUCCGUGCUCGCAAGGAAGCUGCAUAUCUGGACACUUGACAACAAGGUAGAGAAAAGCUGGACCCAGAAGUAUAGUAUUGAGUUACCAGCACUUAGCGUUCUUGGACCGCAUUUCAUCUACGAGGAUAAGAUUAUCAUGCAUAGUCGUAAUGGUGGCAUAUAUUGCCAUGAAUUGACAAGCCAGCGAUUUACGAUUGACGAUACCAAGUUGGUGAAGCUGUUAGAUUCCAGCCCCCGCAGCUACGAGAAUACGCAAUCCUAUAUGUGUGUGAAGUCACUUGUUCGGUUGGAUGCAUACAAGAAGGCCGGUAUGGUGCGCACGCGAAAGAGAAAAGAGGGUUGGAAAUUGAAGAAGUGGGAGGCGUGGGAACAUGACCGUUCUAAGAUAGAGGAGCUGUGGAGAUCAGGCCAUCGGAUUCAGCAAAGGAUGCAUGAAAUGGCACAUGUGAUCGGCGCAGCCAUCAGUCUGAACUUGCCUGCCCCACCAGAUCAGCAGGAUAGCCCCCACCGACGGCUUAAUUGGGUGCGGGUGACGGACAUGCUGGAGUCUCAUGUUGAUAGUUUGGAUGCUCCAUGGAAGGUCUUAGUCCAGGCAGCUGACGCCUUCAGUAGUGAGACCAAGAAGAUGAUCCCAGCGGCAGACCAGGCAAAGCAGAGAAAUGAAGAGGAGAGCGAGGCUGGCCCAUCAAGGCCAAAGCGGAAGAGGAAGCCCAGCUCCAGAUUUGAUUCGUCGACGUGGACAACCUGA
rnacentral:rRNA from 1 species